AAAGGUAAGCUACUAAGAGCGAAUGGUGGAUGCCUUGACUGGUAAAGGCGAUGAAGGACGUACUAGACUGCGAUAAGCUACGGGGAGCUGUCAAGAAGCUUUGAUCCGUAGAUUUCCGAAUGGGGCAACCCAAUGUAUAGAGAUAUACAUUACCUAUAUAGGAGCGAACGAGGGGAAUUGAAACAUCUUAGUACCCUCAGGAAAAGAAAUCAAUAGAGAUUGCGUCAGUAGCGGCGAGCGAAAGCGCAAGAGGGCAAACCCAGUGCUUGCACUGGGGGUUGUAGGACUGCAAUGUGCAAGAGCUGAGUUUAGCAGAAUAUUCUGGAAAGUAUAGCCAUAGAGGGUGAUAGUCCCGUAUGCGAAAAACAAACCUUAGCUAGCAGUAUCCUGAGUAGGGCGGGACACGAGGAAUCCUGUCUGAAUCCGGGUCGACCACGAUCCAACCCUAAAUACUAAUACCAGAUCGAUAGUG
rnacentral:rRNA from 1 species